rnacentral:rRNA from 1 species
UACGUAGGGGGCUAGCGUUGUCCGGAUUUAUUGGGCGUAAAGAGCGUGUAGGCGGCCAGGUUAGGUCUGCUGUGAAAACUUCGAGGCUUAAACCUCGAAGAUGUCGGUGGAAACCAUCUGGCUAGAGUCCGGAAGAGGAGAGUGGAAUUCCUGGUGUAAGCGGUAGAAAUGCGACAGAUAUCAGGAAGAACACCCGUGGCGAAGGCGGCUCUCUGGGACGGUACUGACGCUG